AUUCCCUUUUAUGAGCUUAUGACAUGCAAUGACAUGUUGGCCACAUUAGGCAGGUGGCCUCAAUACAGUGUUUAGCCAAAUACAGGUGAAAUAAUUGUAACCUUUUGAAAGAAUUUAAUGCUGGGAUGCUGUAGAGGACAUCAAGCAAGUGUUCAUGGACUCAUGGACUAGAUUGGGAAGACCAAGGACAGCAAGAUCAGAGGACAAUCGCUGCAGUUCGUCAGCAGUUGAUCGACCAUCAACAUGACAAAAGUGCAAGACGGAAUGGAGUUGGGCUCAGCCCAGCCUCUUUCAAUCGGAUAAACACGACUUGACCUUCAUCUUCAUCCGUAUAGAGGAAUUUCGAAUUACCACCGUCUCCGCAUUUCCACAUUGAAACCGAGGGUCUCUGUGGCACGCAUUCUGCACGUUCUGUUCCUCACAUUGCAGGCAGGUAGGUCGGCCCUCUCGUUAAAGACGUUUUCCUUUUUUGUAAAUCUUGCGAUUUUUUUAGUGGCGGUGGCAUGUAAUAAAUCCCACGUUAAUAUAGCAUAAAUAUACAAGUAUGUCACUGCCAUACUAUUAUAGGAUAUGCCAAUAUUGUUGACAUUUUUUUGGUCACUGUUUUGUGUAUGUAUAUCGGCCAUGUCGGUAGAUUCAAGGAACCCGACGAUUAAGCGUGGUUACUGUAGGCCGAAGUUCAGAAACUAGACCGAUUUUCGAGGUUCCUCAAUCAAGAAGAUUAUACACUGAAAUAUUAUUAUUGUUUCGUAGUUUUGUUAUGAGCUUAGGUUUCUCAGUUGUUUUGUAUAGACUAGUAGAAUAUUGGAAAGACAGCAGUGCCAUCUUCAAUUAAUUACAGGGUUGCAGAUGUGAAUAAAUGGAGGCUCUCGUCAAAAUUGCAUUUCAUGUUUACAAAUAAAACGGCUAUUUUUAACGAUUGUAGAAUAUAGCCAGACUGCCUGAGCGGUGAAUUGAUUUAGAAAAAUCCAUGUACGAAACUUUGCUAGACAUCAUUGUCAUUUUAAAACAGUUUUUAAUAAUUACAUAAAUUGAUACUUUUGUAUUCAUUAGACAAUGGCUAAUCUCACAGAGAAGAUGACAUUCCAGGAGCAAAACGGGAUGUUUCUGUGCCUGCUCUUCAAAAAGUAAAAUGUGAAGACCGAAGACCGAAGUUUUGACUUAAAUGCCGUGGAGAUUCUUGCAAGGCCAAGGCGCAGAUGAUAGAGGAUCCAACAGCUUGUCCUUAGACAUGGAAAUGAGUCUACAAUCGUUGAUCCCACUCCAGAUGAGCAUUGGGAGAGUCUCUAGUGCAGGGUCAGCUGGCAUUAACUGGAGCAGAAUAGUGUGACUUUGUUGUUUACACACACAAAGGUUUAAUCAUUCAACGAACACCUUUUGAAUUAACAUUUUGGAAUAUCCUUUACAAAAAAAAAAUGCAGAAGUUUAUUUUGGCUUUUACAUCAAAGUGGCUAUUGAACAAUUCUAAUCUAUUGUCUCGCAAAGUUAAAAACUUUUUUUUUGCAUGUAAUCAUUUUCCCUUGACAGUGUUAUAACUCGAUCAAGACUUUUCAGCACCCACAGCAUUGGCUGAGAUGGUUCUUUUUUUUUAUAUUUUGAAUUGUGAAUAAUUAUGAUUCAUAGUUUUAAAGAGGCAUUCAUGUUGAUACAUUAAGUUUGUAGUCAUUAGACAUUAGGCAUAAGUGAUCAACUGGUAUCGCACACUGGUUUGGGUAUCAAACAUUCGUCAAAAUAGUGUCAGUGUAGACCCCUAUCAAAAUAUUAGAAACAAAAUGUGUUGAACUUGUAUAACUCAGUAGUAUGCAUUUAUGAAACUUAAGGUGUACAUCCUUAUAUUGGCAAGUUUUGCAUGCUUGAUUUAAGGGCUUACAUAAAAAUACACAGUUACAAAAAUUAGUCAAGAAGCCAAGCACAUUAAAAUUUAUGUUUUAUGUCAUAUUUAUUUCACAGGCAUUACAUAUGACAGUAACUGAAUGUAAACCAAGCAUAAACAAAUCGACCCCUUAAAGAAUAUGCUCCAAAACAUUAAUUUUUUCUCACUUCAAUAAAAGUCAAGAAAGUGCUGGAUACAUGUAUUUGAAAUAAAGUGAACAAGUGAUGUAUGUAUUUAAA
rnacentral:lncRNA from 1 species